rnacentral:rRNA from 1 species
AUUGAACGCUGGCGGCAGGCCUAACACAUGCAAGUCGAACGAGUGGCGGACGGGUGAGUAAUGUAUGGGGAUCUGCCUGAUAGAGGGGGCUAACUACUGGAAACGGUGGCUAAUACCGCAUACUAUCGUAUGUGCCCACAGGGGAUUAGCUAGUAGGUGGGGUAAAGGCUCACCUAGGCGACGAUCGCUAGCUGGUCUGAGAGGGUGAUCAGCCACACUGGGACUGAGACACGGCCCAGACUCCUACGGGAGGCAGCAGUGGGGAAUAUUGCACAAUGGGCGCAAGCCUGAUGCAGCCAUGCCGCGUGUAUGAAGAAGGCCUUAGGGUUGUAAAGUACUGUCAGCGGGGAGGCGUUACCCGCAGAAGAAGCAACGGCUAACUCCGUGCCAGCAGCCGCGGUAAUUC